GCGUCUGAUUAGGUAGUUGGUGAGGUAACGGCCCACCAAGCCGACGAUCAGUAGCCGACCUGAGAGGGUGACCGGCCACAUUGGGACUGAGACACGGCCCAAACUCCUACGGGAGGCAGCAGUGGGGAAUAUUGGACAAUGGGGGAAACCCUGAUCCAGCGACGCCGCGUGAGUGAAGAAGUAUUUCGGUAUGUAAAGCUCUAUCAGCAGGGAAGAAAAUGACGGUACCUGACUAAGAAGCCCCGGCUAACUACGUGCCAGCAGCCGCGGUAAUACGUAGGGGGCAAGCGUUAUCCGGAUUUACUGGGUGUAAAGGGAGCGUAGACGGCACUGCAAGUCUGGAGUGAAAGCCCGGGGCUCAACCCCGGGACUGCUUUGGAAACUGUGGCGCUAGAGUGCAGGAGAGGUAAGUGGAAUUCCUAGUGUAGCGGUGAAAUGCGUAGAUAUUAGGAGGAACACCAGUGGCGAAGGCGGCUUACUGGACUGUAACUGACGUUGAGGCUCGAAAGCGUGGGGAGCAAACAGGAUUAGAUACCCUGGUAGUCCACGCCGUAAACGGUGAAUACUAGGUGUUGGGGAGCAAAGCUCUUCGGCGCCGCCGCUAACGCAAUAAGUAUUCCACCUGGGGAGUACGUUCGCAAGAAUGAAACUCAAAAGGAAUUGACGGGGACCCGCACAAGCGGUGGAGCAUGUGGUUUAUUUCGAAGCAACGCGAAGACCCCUACCAAGUCUUGACAUCGGAAUGACCGUCUCAUAACUGAGGCUUCCCUACGGGGCAUUCCAGACAGGUGGUGCAUGGUUGUCGUCAGCCUCG
rnacentral:rRNA from 1 species